GACGAACGCUGGCGGCGUGCUUAACACAUGCAAGUCGAACGGAAAGGCCCUGCUUUUGUGGGGUGCUCGAGUGGCGAACGGGUGAGUAACACGUGAGUAACCUGCCCUUGACUUUGGGAUAACUUCAGGAAACUGGGGCUAAUACCGGAUAGGAGCUCCUGCUGCAUGGGGGGGGUUGGAAAGUUUCGGCGGUUGGGGAUGGACUCGCGGCUUAUCAGCUUGUUGGUGGGGUAGUGGCUUACCAAGGCUUUGACGGGUAGCCGGCCUGGGAGGGUGACCGGCCACAUUGGGACUGAGAUACGGACCAGACUCCUACGGGAGGCAGCAGUGGGGAAUAUUGCACAAUGGGCGGAAGCCUAAUGCAGCAACGCCGCGUGCGGGAUGACGGCCUUCGGGUUGUAAACCGCUUUCGCCUGUGACGAAGCGUGAGUGACGGUAAUGGGUAAAGAAGCACCGGCUAACUACGUG
rnacentral:rRNA from 1 species